UACGGGGGGAGCAAGCGUUGUUCGGAUUUACUGGGCGUAAAGGGCGCGUAGGCGGCGUGACAAGUCACUUGUGAAAUCUCCGGGCUUAACUCGGAACGGUCAAGUGAUACUGUCGUGCUAGAGUACAGAAGGGGCAACUGGAAUUCUCGGUGUAGCGGUGAAAUGCGUAGAGAUCAGGAAGAACACCAGUGGCGAAGGCGCUCUGCUAGGCCGUAACUGACACUGAGGGACGAAAGCUAGGGGAGCGAAUGGG
rnacentral:rRNA from 1 species